CAGCCACGUGACAGAACAUAGGUUAAGAUAAAUGGGUUAUCUCUAGUUAUGGUCUAGUCAGAGAAGAUCCUAGCUGUAUAGCCAAGGUAUCUGUAAAUAUAUUUUAAGUCUGAGUCUUGUUUCUGGGAACAUGGGGCUGGGAGGAAGAACCAGCCUAGCUUCUACAGUUUUAUAUAUGUAGGGUACAGAGACACCCAGUGAAUCAGAUACAGGACCCAAACUUAGACAACUUGCCACUAAUUGUGGCAAUGCGGUAUAGUUUGAUCUUCUAGAAGGCAGUUUCAAGACCAGAGAACUAAUGUACAAAAAUCAUUGCCACUGUGUAUGAUACCUCAUAAGAACCCAAUAGAAAAAUGUUAAUGACUUCAGCUAGCUCAUUUCUGGUAGGACCAUGGAAAUGGGUUUUUCUAUGAUUCACAGUCACAGGAAAAUAAAAUCAAGAGAGCCACAAAAACUCCUCAUAAAUUAAAAAAAAAAAAGUCACUACACCAACACAUAGCAAAGACUGUCAGAUUCCCUCUAGUCCAUAAGAAUGGAAACUUCUGGAAUCAAUUUUAAGGAUACAAUGUCAUUGCUGCUUAGAUAUUGCUAGGCAAAAUGACUUUGCUAUUCUUAUAGCUUGGGUUAGAUAGCCAUUUCCAGGUAAGAGCUAAGCCAGGCUUGCUACAUGUCUAUUUCUAUAAGGAAACAAAACAAAACAAAACCCAAACAGGUAUAUAUCCAUUUUGAUCUGAUUUGGUAUAACUUUAAGAGCCACAGCAGAAGAGGGAACUCUAAAAUUUUCCAUAGGUAAGAGUUCUGGCAUAGAAUUCUUGAUUUCCCUCACCGCCUUCAGCAGCCAGGACUUCAGAUCUGAACAAUGGUUAAUGUUUAAAAAGGCACAGUGUGUUCUGUUUCAUGACCUGUUCAUUUCCCUUCCCUGCCAGUGCAGGCCUCAAGUAAGAGCUUGUUACAGGGCAUGAAAAGACACAGGGAGUGAUACUCAGGUCACAGGGAAGUUGCUUGAAGACGAGGGAGCUGUAUCUCCAAGGAAACACUCCAAAUGAGUUGCUGUGGGCCACCGUGGGCGUGGGUUUACUGUAGCUUAUGGAAAUAACCCACAGCACCCACUGAGAUGUGUGUAUAGAUUGCAGUCAGGAAAUGGAGGGAAUCCUGCAUUAAGCCGAAACGGUGGGAUUUAAAAAUGCCUAAGAGCGACUCUCUGGGUGGAAUCUGGUCAGAGCACCCAUCAGCUUUCCCUCUCAUCAGCAGUUGGGAGAAAAAUUACAUACUUUGGAUAUCCAAACCCGAAUCCAGGGUGUUCAGCCCUUCAGCUAUCUACCUUUCUGUAAUUAACCCUAUUUGUCACCAAUCCUCAUACUACAUGCUGUGAGGGCCAGCCAGUGCAGACCCUAACAUCUCCUAUAAACGAAACAUUCAGUCCUUUCCCCACCAACCCUAUUUGUUCUACUUUCAGUCUUUAUAUAACUCCCAACUCAUCUUUUCCUGUGACCUCAUCGACUGGUCCUUGUCACAUCAGACCAUCACCAGUUAUCCGUCAACUCCGUGCUCACUCUGACUGUGUAUUGACUUGGACCUGGCACCGGACUUGGUUCUGAGGAUACAUAGGCCAAGGGAAGACCUAAAGACUACUACUGUAGAGAAGGAUGGUACUGAAGGAUGCUACUGUGAGAAGGAUGCUACUGUGAGAAGGAUGCUACUGACCUGCUUUAAACACCCCAACUUCUUGCCAAGCCUGGGCGGGAUCUUAAUGAGUAGCAUCUACUUAAGCUC
rnacentral:lncRNA from 1 species